rnacentral:rRNA from 1 species
AAUCUGCCUUUUGGUCGGGGACAACCACUGGAAACGGUGGCUAAUACCGGAUGUGCCUACGGGUAAAAGAUUUAUUGCCAGAAGAAGAGCUCGCGUCUGAUUAGCUAGUUGGUAGGGUAAAAGCCUACCAAGGCAUCGAUCAGUAGCUGGUCUGAGAGGAUGACCAGCCACACUGGGACUGAGACACGGCCCAGACUCCUACGGGAGGCAGCAGUGGGGAAUUUUCCGCAAUGGGCGAAAGCCUGACGGAGCAAGACCGCGUGAGGGAGGAAGGCUCUUGGGUUGUAAACCCCUUUUGUCAGGGAAGAAGAAAGUGACGGUACCUGACGAAUCAGCAUCGGCUAACUCCGUGCCAGCAGCCGCGGUAAUACGGAGGAUGCAAGCGUUAUCCGGAAUUAUUGGGCGUAAAGCGUCCGCAGGUGGCACUUCAAGUCUGUCGUCAAAGACCGGGGCUUAACCCUGGAAAGGCGAUGGAAACUGAAAGGCUAGAGAGAGGUAGGGGUAGAGGGAAUUCCCAGUGUAGCGGUGAAAUGCGUAGAGAUUGGGAAGAACAUCGGUGGCGAAAGCGCUCUACUGGACCUCAUCUGACACUCAGGGACGAAAGCUAGGGGAGCGAAUGGGAUUAGAUACCCCAGUAGUCCUAGCCGUA